rnacentral:rRNA from 1 species
UACGAGGGGUGCUAGCGUUAUUCGGAAUUACUGGGCGUAAAGGGUGUGUAGACGGCAUAUUAAGUCGAUUGUUAAAUUCUCCGGCCUAACCGGAGAUCUGCGAACGAAACUGAUGUGCUUGAGGGUGGAAGAGAGAAGUGGAAUUCUCGGAGUAGCGGUAAAAUGCGUAGAUCUCGAGAGGAACACCGAUGGCGAAGGCAGCUUCUUGGUCCACUCCUGACGUUGAGACACGAAAGCGUGGGGAGCAAACAGGAUUAGAUACCCCCGUA